UACGUAGGGUGCGAGCGUUAAUCGGAAUUACUGGGCGUAAAGCGUGCGCAGGCGGUUUUGUAAGCCAGAUGUGAAAAGCCCCGGGCUUAACCUGGGAAUGGCAUUUGGGACUGCAAGGCUGGAGUUUGGCAGAGGAGACUGGAAUUCCUGGUGUAGCAGUGAAAUGCGUAGAUAUCAGGAGGAAUACCGAUGGCGAAGGCAGGUCUCUGGGCUAUAACUGACGCUCAUGCACG
rnacentral:rRNA from 1 species